UUCUAAUUUAAAUAUUAUCAUUAGUAUAACCUGCUCAAUGUAAAUAUUAAUAGCCGCAGAAUUUUUACUGUGCUAAGGUAGCAUAAUCAUUAGCCUUUUAAUUGAAGGCUUGUAUGAAAGGUUAAACAUUUUAAUUUCUUUCUUAUUUGUAAUAAUAUAAUUUAUAUUAAAUAUAAAAAUAUAUUUAUAAAUUAAUAAGACGACAAGACCCUAUUGAACUUUACUAAAGUUUAGCUGGGGCAGCUAAUUAAAUAAAAUUUUAAUUAAACUUAAUUAAUUAAAGAUCCAAUACCAUUGAUUAUAUGAAUUAAGUUACCAUAGGGAUAACAGCAUAAUUUUUUUUUAAAGCUCAUAUUAAAAAAAAAAGAUUGUGACCUCGAUGUUGAAUUAGUAAUUCCAUUUAUACGCAACAGUAUAAUAUGUAGGUCUGUUCGACCUUUAAAAUACUACAU
rnacentral:rRNA from 1 species